GACGAACGCUGGCGGCGUGCUUAACACAUGCAAGUCGAACGAAGAGCGAUGGAAGCUUGCUUCUAUCAAUCUUAGUGGCGAACGGGUGAGUAACGCGUAAUCAACCUGCCCUUCAGAGGUGGACAACAGUUGGAAACGACUGCUAAUACCGCAUACGAUCUGACCUCGGCAUCGAGGAUAGAUGAAAGGUGGCCUCUACAUGUAAGCUAUCACUGAAGGAGGGGAUUGCGUCUGAGUAGCUAGUUGGAGGGGUAACGUCCCACCAAGGCGAUGAUCAGUAGCCGGUCUGAGAGGAGGAACGGCCACAUUGGGACUGAGACACGGCCCAGACGCCUACGGGAGGCAGCAGUGGGGAAUCUUCCGCAAUGGACGAAAGUCUGACGGAGAAACGCCGCGUGAGUGAUGACGGCCUUCGGGUUGUAAAGCUCUGUUAAUCGGGACGAAAGGCCUUUUUGCGAAUAGUGAGAAGGAUUGACGGUACCGGAAUAGAAAGCCACGGCUAACUACGUG
rnacentral:rRNA from 1 species